rnacentral:rRNA from 1 species
UACGGGAGGCAGCAGUGAGGAAUAUUGCACAAUGGGCGAAAGCCUGAUGCAGCUAUGCCGCGUGUAUGAAGAAGGCCUUAGGGUUGUAAAGUACUUUCAUCGGGGAGGAAAAAACAAAACUAAUAAUUUUAUUUCUUGACGUUACCCGAAAAAGAAGCACCGGCUAACUCCGUGCCAGCAGCCGCGGUAAUACGGAGGGUGCUAGCGUUAAUCAGAAUUACUGGGCGUAAAGAGCACGUAGGUGGUUUUUUUAAGUUCAGAUGUGAAAUCCCUGGGCUUAACCUAGGAACUGCAUUUUGAAACUGAAAUACUAGAGUAUCGUAGAGGGAGGUAGAAUUCUAGGUGUAGCGGUGAAAUGCGUAGAUAUCUGGAGGAAUACCUGUGGCGAAAGCGGCCUCCUAAACGAAUACUGACACUGAGGUGCGAAAGCGUGGGGAGCAAACAGGGAUUAGAUACC